GUUGCCUCGCCAAGACGGCCCCCUCCUUAAAACCCUAACCCCCGGUACUUUGUCCGGCGAGGACACACCAUUGCGUCGGAUCUCCAGUUCCCCUUCACUCCUCGUCUCUGUCUUCUCGAACCGCCGCUUCAUCUUCGAUGAACGACGCGUACGCCAGAUCCGUCUCCGAGGUUCCCGAAGAAUUUGGUGUAGAUCCAACCAAGGGUCUUACUGAUUUCCAGGUUGCCGAGAAUGCGUAGAUAUACGGCAGAAACGUACUGCCUCAAGAAGAAAUUGUGUGGUCUAUCAUUCUGAGCAACAACUGUUUGUAAAGCUGUGAUCUCUUUCUUGAGUAGUCCACCCGAAAGUAAAAAGACUCGGCAUUUUGGAAGCUUCACCACCAUUAUAUGCAGUAUUUUGAUACAAAAUUAAUCUGUUAGCACAGGUUGCAUGUGGAUGUCAUGACAUGUCAUUGACCACAUUGUUUCGACCCUGCAGCAUGGCUAUUGGUAAAUUCUGUAACUACAUUUAUGAUGUGAAGAACCUAUGCACGC